UACAGAGGGUGCAAGCGUUGCUCGGAAUCAUUGGGCGUAAAGGGUAGGUAGGUGGUCUCGUUUGUCUGGGGUGAAAGCCUUGAGCUUAACUCAAGAAGUGCCUUAGAAACGGCGAGACUGGAGUCUUGGAGAGGGGUCGUGGAAUUCCCGGUGUAGCGGUGAAAUGCGUAGAGAUCGGGAGGAACACCAGCGGCGAAGGCGGCGACCUGGACAAGUACUGACACUCAACUACGAAAGCGUGGGGAGCAAACAGG
rnacentral:rRNA from 1 species